rnacentral:lncRNA from 1 species
CAACAAAUGAAUGUCCUUAUGGAGGCAGUCAAAACCCUCCAGCAACUGCAAACCCAGCCACCACAACCGUCGGUGGAGCAACUAGUAGCGCAUUCAGCGCCUUCCAAGCAUAGCCAUCAUCUUCUGCGAUGAUCUCCGUCUCCUCUACUAGAGCGACGAUCUCGGCUCUCUCAACGGGUUGAGCAGCGGCACUCAUGGCAAUCUCGACACGCCACCCACCAUUCACGGUGCCUCUCUUCUUCCCAGUU